rnacentral:rRNA from 1 species
UACGAAGGGUGCAAGCGUUACUCGGAAUUACUGGGCGUAAAGCGUGCGUAGGUGGUUCGUUAAGUCUGAUGUGAAAGCCCUGGGCUCAACCUGGGAAUGGCAUUGGAAACUGGCGACCUAGAGUGCGGUAGAGGGUAGUGGAAUUCCCGGUGUAGCAGUGAAAUGCGUAGAUAUCGGAAGGAACAUCAGUGGCGAAAGCGGCUUCCUGGACCAGCACCGACGUUCAGGCACGAAAGCGUGGGGAGCAAACAGG